GAGCCAUUAGCUCAGUUGGUAGAGCACCUGACUUUUAAUCAGGGUGUCGCUGGUUCGAAUCCAGCAUGGCUCA
rnacentral:tRNA from 1 species